GAUGAACGCUAGCGGCAGGCUUAAUACAUGCAAGUCGAGGGGCAGCAUGAGUGUAGCAAUACAUUUGAUGGCGACCGGCAAACGGGUGCGGAACACGUACACAACCUUCCUUUAAGCGGGGAAUAGCCCGGGGAAACCCGGAUUAAUACCCCAUAGUAUGGUGAAGAGGCAUCUCUUUAUUAUUAAAGAUUUAUCACUUAAAGAUGGGUGUGCGGCUGAUUAGGUAGUUGGCGGGGUAACGGCCCACCAAGCCUACGAUCAGUAACUGGUGUGAGGGCACGACCAGUCACACGGGCACUGAGACACGGGCCCGACUCCUACGGGAGGCAGCAGUAAGGAAUAUUGGUCAAUGGACGAAAGUCUGAACCAGCCAUGCCGCGUGGAGGAUGAAGGUCCUCUGGAUUGUAAACUUCUUUUAUAUGGGACGAAAAAAGGCCUUUCCAGGUCGUCUGACGGUACCAUAUGAAUAAGCACCGGCUAACUCCGUGCCAGCCGCCGCGGUAAAAC
rnacentral:rRNA from 1 species